AGAGAAAUCAAACGAGAUUCCCCUAGUAGUGGCGAGCGAACGGGGAUAUAGGACAAACCGUCAGUUGCGCAAGCGCUGGCGGGGUUGUAGGACCAUUCAUUGUGGAGUUACAAAACUUCGUGGAAGCAGAAUAGCUUGGAAAAGCUGGCGAGACAGGGUAAAAGCCCCGUACGCGAAUCUGCGAAGACUCCCGAGUGGCACCUGAGUACUGCCGGACACGUGAAACCCGGUGGGAACCUGGGGGGUCCACCCUCCAAUCCUAAAUACUCUCUUGUGACCGAUAGUGAACCAGUACCGUGAGGGAAAGGUGAAAAGCACCCCUAGCGGGGAGUGAAAUAGUACCUGAAACCGUUUGCCUACAAGCAGUCGGAGCAGACUUUUGUCUGUGACGGCGUGCCUUUUGUAGAAUGAGCCAGCGAGUUACGGCAUGUGGCAAGGUUAAGCUAAAAAGCGAGCCGCAGCGAAAGCGAGUCUGAAUAGGGCGAGUGAGUCGCAUACCGUAGACGCGAAGCCAGGUGAGCUAUCCAUGAGCAGGCUGAAGCGGGGGUAAGACCCCGUGGAGGGC
rnacentral:rRNA from 1 species